rnacentral:misc_RNA from 1 species
AACGAAUAAAUACUAUAUUUUAUCCGAAACGAGGAAAACCAAAGUUUUACCUUUUAUUUUACAAAUAAAACAGAAAUAAAAAAUAAAUAUUAACUUCAUAAUAUAUACCAACAAUAAAAUAUCUAUAUAUAUAGCUCUGCACCGCGGUUUCACCCGGUUAAUUUGGAAAAAAAAUUGCCUAUAGCCUUCCUCGAUAAACGGGCUAUCUAUCACUGAAAGAAUUUUUCAAAUUCGACUAGUAGUUCUUGAGCUUAAUGCGUGUGUGUCAGACAAACAAACAAACAAACAAACUCAUCGGCUUUAUAACAUUAGUAUAGAUUAACAUAAUCGUAGGAAAGUUGUGUCAUAAAAUAUAACUAAUACAUAAGAGUAUAAUAUAUUGACUAGUCUCGAACUCGAGCGUCGCGAGGGCUACAGAAUACUAAGAGUACGGGCAAGUAUCAAAACUAAACGCACGCCUACAUCUCGCCCAACUACCUCACCAUAUGAGCAAUGACUGUUAAAAACUAGUGUAAAUUUCCGAAAAUCUACAAAAAUACUUCGAUAACCCUGUCGUAUUUAACUUUGCAGCACCGACGUACACUUAACUAUAAUGUAAAACAGAUGCGGACGUAGUGAUCGUACAGAAAAGAUAUCUCUUAGCAAUCAUAAACAAGAAUUUUUCUAUAUUGUGACCACGAUCACGACAGGACACAUUGGUCGUACGGAAAAGUAAUCUCUUACGGUCGAUUUCAAUAAUCUAUCUAUCGCUGCUUUUGUUUUCUAGCGUUAGGUUUAGUUUAGGACACAAUUUGUAUGGAAUUUACAUUAAAAUUCUAUCUCUAGUAAGCAUGUAAUUCAGAGAUAGAGUGUUGAAACUAGCCGCUAGUGACCAUAAACAAGAAUUUU